AGUAAUCGCGCGUGUGCUACUGCUCGUGUAUUCUUUUAUCAGAUAUAUAAAGUAAUAUUGAAGAGAUUUGUAGAACAAGAUAGAUUUGUGUCUGAAAGACUUUAUUGAAACAUAAACUAGGAUUAGCUCAAAGGAGCUUUAUUGAAAAGUAAAGAACAAGAAAGGAACAAGCUUGAUGUUUGUCUUCAAGAACUAAAUGAACCUUUUGAUAUCAUAAAUAGAGUUUGAAGUAGGCUGCUUGAAACGCAACCAAAGUUGCAUUGCCAUAAUGAUACUAGACAUAUUUAUACCAAAUCUAACUUGCUAAAACCCUAAACACUUAGUCUAACAGGCUUGGUUGUUCUUCUUGGGCUUGGGCUCUUAUACUCCCCUGCAAACUUAGCGUGGAUGGAGCAGCAACGGAGCAGCAACGCAAAGUUUGAAAGCACAGAUGAAGAUGACUUGAAAUGACCAGUAGGAUGCUUUUGAUGUAGGCAAAGGGCUCUUGUUCUUCUGGAAAACAAACUAAGUGUGAGAUCUAUUCAGGCCUAUACUUGGAGAGUAUUACAUGGCUUCACUCAGAGGUUUCUCUUGAACUUGGAGAGCUUAGUUGAUCUCACUCAGAGGUAUAACUAUGGCAUAUUUGUCUCACUAUGAAUCUAGGUUUCCUUUACCCAUUUCAUUCUUCUAAUGUGUCUCAUGAAGAACUCUCUUUCCACACCUACCAAAUAAAACUAUACUCAAUCUCUGCUUCCCAUCAGUAUACUGCUAAAAAACUCUGCCUCUAAACAAUCUGACAGUGUCGUUGGCAUUUUACCGAGCAGCUUGCGUGCAUUAGCAUUAAAGCCAGAGACUUGCAUCCAAGACCACACGUAACAAACCCAAACAAGCCUUUCUCAAUCAACUUGUGUGUUCUAAAACCCAUCUUAACCAGAAUCUAAACCAGUACACGACAUAUAAUUUUCUCAUCCACUGUUCUGUCUCAAUUAAAGAAACAGAGAUAAUACCGUGUAGAAGUGGUGAGGAAGCUGAAUAAGUCUUCAUUCUUCUCUGACCAGUUUGAGACCUGUCUGAAACUUCAACUAGAAAAAGCCCGAUAAACCCCAUGAACCACCGUGGUCUCUGUCUCGAACUUCUCCCUCUUCAUAUGGGCAAGCGCUUGACUGGUUCUGUUUCUCAAUGACAGAGUCACAGCUGCAGCAGGUCUUUAGCAGGGCUUGGUGAAGACUAUAUAUAUAUAUAUAUACAUAUACAUGCAUUUCCAUGAUUCCAUCUACCUUUUAAUUUUUUUUUUUGAAGUAAUCGCGCGUGUGCUACUGCUCGUGUAUUCUUUUAUCAGAUAUAUAAAGUAAUAUUGAAGAGAUUUGUAGAACAAGAUAGAUUUGUGUCUGAAAGACUUUAUUGAAACAUAAACUAGGAUUAGCUCAAAGGAGCUUUAUUGAAAAGUAAAGAACAAGAAAGGAACAAGCUUGAUGUUUGUCUUCAAGAACUAAAUGAACCUUUUGAUAUCAUAAAUAGAGUUUGAAGUAGGCUGCUUGAAACGCAGCCAAAGUUGCAUUGCCAUAAUGAUACUAGACAUAUUUAUACCAAAUCUAACUUGCUAAAACCCUAAACACUUAGUCUAACAGGCUUGGUUGUUCUUCUUGGGCUUGGGCUCUUAUAAAUAUUUCCGUAGAUAGUUACCAUGUAAUCAUAAUAUAAUCUAUCAAAACUAGCACAU
rnacentral:lncRNA from 1 species